UACGUAGGGGGCGAGCGUUGUCCGGAUUUAUUGGGCGUAAAGAGCGUGUAGGCGGCCAGGUAGGUCCGUUGUGAAAACUCGAGGCUCAACCUCGAGACGUCGGCGGAAACCCUCUGGCUAGAGUCCGGAAGAGGAGAGUGGAAUUCCUGGUGUAGCGGUGAAAUGCGCAGAUAUCAGGAGGAACACCCGUGGCGAAAGCGGCUCUCUGGGACGGUACUGACGCUGAGACGCGAAAGCGUGGGGAGCAAACAGG
rnacentral:rRNA from 1 species